rnacentral:tRNA from 1 species
GUCCCCUUCGUCUAGAGGCUACAGGACACCGCCCUUUCACGGCGGUAACAGGGGUUCGAAUCCCCUAGGGGACGCCA